rnacentral:rRNA from 1 species
GACGAACGCUGGCGGCGUGCUUAACACAUGCAAGUCGAGCGGUAAGGCCCUUUCGGGGGUACGACGAGCGGCGAACGGGUGGAGUAACACGUGGGUGACCUGCUCUCAGCUCUGGGAUAAGCCUGGGAAACUGGGUCUAAUACCGGAUAUGACUCCAUGACGCAUGUUGUGGGGUGGAAAGCCUUGUGCGGCUGAGGAUGGGCCCGCGGCCUAUCAGCUUGUUGGGGGGGUGA